UACGUAGGGUGCAAGCGUUGUCCGGAAUUAUUGGGCGUAAAGAGCUUGUAGGCGGUUUGUCGCGUCUGCUGUGAAAUUUCGGGGCUCAACCCCGAACUUGCAGUGGGUACGGGCAGACUAGAGUGUGGUAGGGGAGACUGGAAUUCCUGGUGUAGCGGUGAAAUGCGCAGAUAUCAGGAGGAACACCGAUGGCGAAGGCAGGUCUCUGGCCACUACUGACGCUGAGAAGCGAAAGCAUGGGGAGCGAACAGG
rnacentral:rRNA from 1 species